UGUCUGGGAAACUGCCUGAUGGAGGGGGAUAACUACUGGAAACGGUAGCUAAUACCGCAUAACGUCGCAAGACCAAAGAGGGGGACCUUCGGGCCUCUUGCCAUCAGAUGUGCCCAGAUGGGAUUAGCUAGUAGGUGGGGUAACGGCUCACCUAGGCGACGAUCCCUAGCUGGUCUGAGAGGAUGACCAGCCACACUGGAACUGAGACACGGUCCAGACUCCUACGGGAGGCAGCAGUGGGGAAUAUUGCACAAUGGGCGCAAGCCUGAUGCAGCCAUGCCGCGUGUAUGAAGAAGGCCUUCGGGUUGUAAAGUACUUUCAGCGGGGAGGAAGGUGUUGAGGUUAAUAACCUCAGCAAUUGACGUUACCCGCAGAAGAAGCACCGGCUAACUCCGUGCCAGCAGCCGCGGUAAUACGGAGGGUGCAAGCGUUAAUCGGAAUUACUGGGCGUAAAGCGCACGCAGGCGGUCUGUCAAGUCGGAUGUGAAAUCCCCGGGCUCAACCUGGGAACUGCAUUCGAAACUGGCAGGCUAGAGUCUUGUAGAGGGGGGUAGAAUUCCAGGUGUAGCGGUGAAAUGCGUAGAGAUCUGGAGGAAUACCGGUGGCGAAGGCGGCCCCCUGGACAAAGACUGACGCUCAGGUGCGAAAGCGUGGGGAGCGAACAGGAUUAGAUACCCUGGUAGUCCACGCCGUAAACGAUGUCCACUUGGAGGUUGUUCCCUUGAGGAGUGGCUUCCGGAGCUAACGCGUUAAGUCGA
rnacentral:rRNA from 2 species